UACGUAGGGGGCAAGCGUUGUCCGGAUUUAUUGGGCGUAAAGAGCGUGUAGGCGGUUCGGAAAGUCGGGUGUGAAAGCCCUGGGCUUAACCCAGGAAGUGCACUCGAAACUCCCGAACUAGAGUCCUGGAGAGGAAGGCGGAAUUCUCGGUGUAGAGGUGAAAUUCGUAGAUAUCGAGAGGAACAUCGGUGGCGAAGGCGGCCUUCUGGACAGCGACUGACGCUGAGACGCGAAAGCGUGGGGAGCAAACAGG
rnacentral:rRNA from 1 species